rnacentral:rRNA from 1 species
UGGGGAAUAUUGGGCAAUGGGCGCAAGCCUGACCCAGCAACGCCGCGUGAGGGAAGAAGGCUUUCGGGUUGUAAACCUCUGUCCUUGGUGACGAAAAAAAUGACGGUAGCCAAGGAGUCCUGU